UGCCAGCCGCCGCGGUAAGACAGAGGUGGCAAGCGUUGUUCGGAAUUACUGGGCUUAAGGGGCGCGUAGGCGGUGGAGUAAGUCUGAGGUGGAAGAUUAGGGCUUAACCCUAAAAUUGCCUUGGAAACUGCAUCACUUGAGUCAGCGAGGGGAUGGCGGAAUUCCAGGUGUAGCGGUGAAAUGCGUAGAUAUCUGGAGGAAGGCCGGUGGCGAAGGCGGCCAUCUGGCGCUGAACUGACGCUGAGGCGCGAAAGCGUGGGGAGCAAACAGGAUUAGAUA
rnacentral:rRNA from 1 species